AGUGAACGCUGGCGGUAGGCCUAACACAUGCAAGUCGAACGGCAGCACAGGAGAGCUUGCUCUCUGGGUGGCGAGUGGCGGACGGGUGAGGAAUACAUCGGAAUCUACUUUUUCGUGGGGGAUAACGUAGGGAAACUUACGCUAAUACCGCAUACGACCUACGGGUGAAAGCAGGGGACCUUCGGGCCUUGCGCGAUUGAAUGAGCCGAUGUCGGAUUAGCUAGUUGGCGGGGUAAAGGCCCACCAAGGCGACGACCCGUCGCUGGUCUGAAAGGAUGAUCAGCCACACUGGAACUGAGACACGGUCCAGACUCCUACGGGAGGCAGCAGUGGGGAAUAUUGGACAAUGGGCGCAAGCCUGAUCCAGCCAUACCGCGUGGGUGAAGAAGGCCUUCGGGUUGUAAAGCCCUUUUGUUGGGAAAGAAAUCCAGCUGGCUAAUACCCGGUUGGGAUGACGGUACCCAAAGAAUAAGCACCGGCUAACUUCGCGCCAGCCGCCGCCGUAA
rnacentral:rRNA from 1 species